CAGAAGCAAUAUUAUGUAAUAAUUUUUAAUAAAAUAAAAUGUAAUUUGGCUCUAAAUAUAUGAUGUUUCAAAUAAAAGAUUUCAAGUUUUCAUGCGAAGAUGGGGUGUAUACGUAGGAAUCUCUAUAUUGUUUGGUCUCAUUAUCUGUUAUGGUCAACAGCUAUGAUUCCACAAGCGAGGCCCUAUUGCGACCAAUUCAACACCAUUUGUGAAGCCCCAACAACAACCCAACUUCUACUCUUACAUUGUUCAUUGGGCCUAAUAUCUAUCAGAGCUGAUGGCGUAAAAUCGUCAUGCAUGGCCUUUAGUGCCGAUCAGCUGAAUGAGAGAAACAAACUUGCAGAGUUUCUUCGAUUGGUACUAUGUUACAUCAAUGUUUGCAGCUCUAAUCGCUGUAACUUUGAUAUUUAUAUUCAAGAUAAUUUAGGGUGGAAAAUGGGUUUUGGGGUACCUAUAAUGCUGAUGUUCCUUUCAGCUAUUUCGUUCUUCUUGACUUCUUUAUUUACAUCAAGUUGAAAACUAGGGCAAGCUUGCUCACUGGUUUGGCUCAAGUUGUAGUGGCUUCUUUAAGAAAGAGGCACAUUGAAGUGCCAAGUGAAGUUUACCAUAUCAGAGAGAGAUCGAUGCUUCCAGUGCUAAGUGAAAAACUAAGGUACUAGCAUCAUAAUAUACAUCGUCUAUUUUAACUUAAUCAUCCUUGUCUAUUGUAUCUUCUUUGUAAUCUGUCUAGGUUUCUGAAUAAAGCUUGCAUGAUAAAAAAUCCCCAAGAGGACUUAACCUCGAAUGGAACUGCUUCAAAUCCAUGGAGUCUUUGUACAAUAGAUCAAGUGGAGGAUCUAAAAGCAUUGAUCGGAGUGAUGCCGCUUUGCUUCGCCGGAAUCAUGCUGUCCAUAACCGUUAAUCAAGGUCAAUUUAUGGUAAUUCAAGCAGGAACCAUGGAUAGACAUGUAACUUCAAACUUUGAAAUCCCAGCAGGUUCAUUCAGCAUGUUUAUGAUGAACACUAUGGCAGUAUGGAUCACAUUCUAGGACCGGAUAGCUCUUCCUUUAGCUUCAAAGAUUAAAGGCAAACCAGUAUGUCUAGGUUUAAAACAAAGAAUGCGGAUCGGUCUUCUUUGCUCUUGUGCAUCCAUGGUAUUCUCAGCAUGUAGAGUGUGUACUCGGCGGAAAAUCGCGAUCGAAGAAGACUUUCCGAUGAACCGCAAGCCGUUGUGCAAAUGUCUGCACUAUGGAUACUGUCGUUUUAUGAUCUAGCUGGCUUGGCUGAGGCUUUCAGUGGAAUUGGACAGAUCGAAUUCUGUUACUCCGAAUUACCGAAAACCAUGUCGACCAUUGCGGCCAAAGUUAACGGAUUCGGAGCCUUCAUCGUGAACCUGGUGGCAAGUUUAAUAAAAAGCUUGGUUGACAAUGUUACUAAAAGGGGAGGGGAAAGUUGGGUUUCAAGCGCGCUAUAUGAAUAAAGGGCAUUAUGAUUACUAUUAUUGACUUCUUGCUGGCUUGAGCAUGCUUAAUUUUAUGUACUUUCUGGUUUGCUGCAAAGCGUACGGUCCUUGCCAUGGAGAUAACAAAAACCAGGCUGAGAACUCUGGCAUAAGAGAUCAUAAGAGUAUAGAUCAGAGUUGAGUUUCUCGUAAUAUACGAGCACUUCAGUUAGAUAUGUGUGAGGUCGAACGAACAUCUUAUUGAAAAUAAAAUAAUAAGCUUCACGAAUUGUUGAAAAAUGUUGAAUUUUUUUACUUUAAGAAAAAUACAGGAUCGUAUUGAACGAGGAGAAUUUAAAUUCAAAAGGAAGUCGUUCAUUUUGCUAGGAUUGAUUGAAAAUCUAUAAAAUUGUUUUUUAAAAAUAAAAAUCUUUUAAAAAAAUAUAAUUUUGGAUCUGCGUUAAAUUUUAAAAGAAAUUUUUAAAAUUUAGUUCAAAUAAAAGAUUUUAAGUUUUUAACACCCUCGCCACCUUUAAAUUGGUACUUUAUUAAAUUCAUGUUGUCUUAAUUUUUAAAAAUAUAAAUUUAAUUCACUAUUUAAUUGUGAUCUAAAAAAUAAUAAAUUUUUUUUAUAGUAAAUCACAAUAAAAAUAUCUUUGAAUAUUCUUUAAGUUUAAAAAAUACAUUAAAUUCUAUUUAAAAAGAUAAAGGUUUUAACCUAUUCAAUACGAAAGGGACAUCCCAAUUUUAAUAAACAACAAUGAUGUCUCACCCAACAUAGUAAUGGAUUCAUGACCUAUAUUAAAUGGGGUUGUUACCUUAUAAAAAAAAUAUUAUAAAUACACAAUAAUACCGAAGUAGGAAUUAAAUGCACCCAAGAUUCCAAGGACUAAAAAGCAAAACAUCUAAAAUACUUAAGGCCCUAAAGCUAAAUAUUCCAAUUUGGUUUUUGUUUUUUCUUUCUAAUGUUAUUUAAUGAACAUUUAUCAUUCGAUUACUAUCAUGAUUCAAGAUUAAAGUAUACAAAAACAAAAAGAAAUGAUCAAAUAUCUAUAAUAGAGAAAAGCUAAGAACAUAUUUAUUAAAGAAAACUAAAUUAAAAAGUCUUACAACUUAGAAUGAACUCCAAGUUUGGUGCCUUCAUUUCUUUCUCCUCGCUCAUAUGAUUCCUCCUUCUUCUUCUUUUAACAUUUUUAUUUUAUAUAUAAUAAACUUAAAAUCAAAAAUUAGUGGGCCCAAAACAGUGAAUGAGUUUGAUGGCGGAUAACCAAAAUCAGCAGAAAUUGAAAAACAAUUUACCGUACAAGGAUUCUUUCAUGUGCACAACUUUUUGAACGAAUGUUCUGAUUACUCCAGAAACAACCCACACUCGCCUAUAAUUUCGUGCAACCGGAGAAAUAAAUUUUUAAAUAUCUACUUUAACAAAAAAAUUAAAUAUUUAAAUAAAAAAGUGCAUAAUUUGAAUAUCUAUUUUUCGUAUACGCCAAAAAAAAAAACCAAUAAUUUUUUAAGUGGGGUGGCUUUGCACAUUUCCAACAGGUCCAUGAAACACCAAGUUUGUGGGUCUUAUAAUGGGACAAUCAAUCAUAUUCAACUUCAAGCUUUUCCCAAAGAAGGUAUACUUUCAUUUGACAAAGGUACAGGUCCAAAUCGGACCACUUUGGCCGAAGAAGGUUUACAUACAAGCUUAGUCAUAUAGAAUAUAAGUAGAGUGAUUAAAGUAAAAGGAAUAAUAUCAUUUUUAGCAUUUUGAUUCUUAAACUUGACAAUUAAAUACAUUUUAGUUAUUAAACUUAGAUUUUUUUGAAAUUUAAUAAUGUGGUCAAUGUUGCUAAAACAAGACCAAAUCAGACGGAUUGAAAACUAAUCAAUAUAAUAAUCUAAACAAAAGGACUAAACUAAUUAAAUCAAAAAUUAUUUAAAAUUAAUAAAAAUAAAAAAACUAAAUAAAAAUCAAGAGUUGAACAUAUUAAACCAAUUAAUUAUUUAAUUGUUAUUGAUCCAAUAUUCAAACCCAUUAAACUAAUUAAAUAAAAAAAUCAAUAAUCUAAAUUAUUUAACUACUAAUCCGAUUACUUUAUAUAUAUAUUUGUAUUUUUAAAGGAGGAAAGUAAUGUUAAAAAGGAUAACUUAAUGCUCUCACGAAAUACACACCAUCCAACACUAUCUCACCACGGAUCCUAGAAUUUGAGCCCUCCUUGCAUUUAAUGGCAACCUGUCUACAACACUCCAAAUGCUUUCCAACUACAGAACCCUACACCAAACAUUAUCUCUUGCCUGAAUUUUUUUCUAAAAUUAUUUGGCCUUUAUCUAAAAUUUUAAAAAUAUUCAUAUUCAAUACCUUUACUCAUAGGCGAAUCUAUAGGCUGGUUGGAGCCUCGGCUUAAAAUUGAAAAUACUUUUAAAUUUUUUUAAAAUUUUAGAUUAGUAAAGAUAAAUUAUAUUUUGUUUCACUAAAAUUAUAAAAAUUUAAUUUAAUUAUUUAAAAGUUAUAAAGACAUAAAAUAUAAAAAAUUAAAAUUUCAUUCGAUAUCUCUAAAAAAUUAUUCUAAUUUCGCCCUUAUCACUACUCAAUAUAUAUUGAAACAAAAUUAAUUUAAGUGUGAUAAAAGAAUAAUAACAGAAAAAAUAAUUAAAAAUAUAUAAUAAUAAUAAUAAUAAUAAUAAUCGGUUUGCAUACUAAAUUGGUUGUAUUACUUCAUUUAAUUCAGUUUUUAAAUAAUUUUAAUUUUUUCACUUCAAGCACCAUAAUUUUCUUUUAAAAUUUGUUUUAAAGCUAGUAUAAUUUUUUAAAGGUAGCAAAAUCAAAUAUAAGUAUCAAAAUCAAUAUAAUUAUUAAUUUCAGAAUAAAAAUUAUAUUUUUCCAUACAAAAUAGAAAAUAUCAUCAUAUGAUAUUUUUGUUUUGAUCCGUAGAAAAUGAAAAGUUAGUUCGCCCCCUUUUUCUAGUUCUCAUUUAAUAAGCAAGCAAUUCCAUAGCGUGGAAAACAUCCCACCAUGGAAACUCCUACAGAUGAACACAGCAAGCUCAGUGAACUUUUCCUUACAUCCCCUCCAUCAAAACGUGGUUUCAGAACCCUGCCUUUCAUCUUAGGUUCCUUGCCCUAAAAAAAAAAUUGCAUUCAAUGGUGAUUAUACAUUUGACGACAGAAUUCGGCAUGGAACAGUAUGCCUACAUAAUCUAACUUUUAUGCCUACGUAAAGCAUAAAACAGUACAUCUAGCAAAUAAAUUCACAAAAACCCCUCAAGCAUUCUGAGUAAAAACCAGUGCAAAGGAUAGUAUUCCUCAAGCAGUUUUUACCAUUAUGCCAAUCAUUUUUUAUUAUGAAAUCGUUUUGACUACAUGAAAUAAAUUAUUAUUAAAAAAUAAAUAAGGAAAGAUAAAUCGUGCAAAAAUUAUUAUUAAAAACGUUUUUAGAGCUUUUUAUUUCUUUUCUUUUUAUUAUGAAAUCAGUAAAUAUGUUUUUAUUUCUUUUCUAAGUAAGUAUUAUAUUUUUAAAUAUGUUUUUAACCUAUUUUCAUUUUUUUAUAAACUAUUAGGCUUAAUUUAAUAAGCAACCUUUAAACUAAAUCAUUUUUUGAGUUAAAUAUUUAAAUUUUUUUGGUCGAAGUAAAUUUCUAGACUAUAAUUUAGUAACUAUUAUGAUUCUUAAAAUUCUCCCGGUUGGAAAACACCCUUCUUAAUCAAUUAAGAGUUAGACACAUAAUUUUUAGUAAUAUAAAUAUUAAAUUAUUAUUUAAUAUUAUAAUUUUCUCUCUCCUUCUCUCCACUCCACUCCAUCUUCAUCUUCACCUCUCUCUCCCUUUCUUCCCCUCUAUUUCAGCAGCAAAAAAUGGAAAAAUAAAAGGGGUAAAUGAAAAGUUGUGAAAAUUAAAGCGGGAAUAAAAAAGGAAACUUGUUGCAUCACUAAAGAAUGAAAAAUAUUCGUAUAAGACAUUGUUUUUUGUUGAAAUAAUAAUUUCCUUUGCAAAGAUCAUUACAACUGACAAUAAGCUCAAAUCUAACAUCUCUUCAGAUUAUUAUUCUCUUCUAAAAUAAAAUCUAAUUAUAUAAUAGUAGUUUAAAUAAAUAAGGACACUAACAUUUUAAAUCAAUAUGAAUAAUGGUAGAGUCAGAAAAUGUUUUUAAAGACGGAAAUUAAAUUAUAUAUUUUUAAGAUAAUAAAAGUAUAUUUUUAUUAUUUUAAUAUUUUAUAUUUUUAUAUAAUUUUUAAAAUAUUAAAUUAAAUUGUUAUUAUUUUUGAGAUGUUAAAAUGUAAUAUUACUAUUAUUCAUAAAUAAUUUAAAUAAUAAAUUAUCCAUUUCAAGGACCAGCCUCCGACAACGUUCUGAUUACGCUACUGAAUAUGAGCAAAAAUUAAAUAAAAUAUGGGUACAAGAUUAUAGCUUGAUUUGACAGUCCAUCAAAAAAAUUUCAAUCAAUCACACGUAAGUUGGGACCAUGCACCAUCACAAUCUAACUUUUUGCCCGCAUAAAGCAUUAAACAGUAUAUCUAACAAAUAAAUUCACAAGUUCUCAAGCAUUCCAAGUAAAAACCAGUGCAAAUGAUAGCAUUCGUCGAGCAAUUUUUACCAUUAUGCCAAUCAUUUUUUUUAUUAUUAACAUGAAAUAAAUUAUUAUUAAAAAAAAAGAAAGACAAAUUGUGCAAAAAUUAUAAUAAAAAACGAUUUUAGAGCUUUUUAUUUCUUUUCCUUUUAUUAGUAAAUAAAUAAACAUACAAUUAUAUCAUGAUUUUUUUUAAAAUUUUGUUUUAAAGCUGGUAUAAUUUUUUAAAGUGCAGUAAAAUCAAAUAUUAAAAACAAAUGUUGAAUACAGGAACAAAGCUAGAAUUUUUUUUAAGGAGAUUAAAAUUAAAUUGUAAUUUUUAUAAUGGUAAAAAUAUAAUUUUUAAAUGAUUAAAUUAAAAAUUUAUCAUUUUUAAGGGGUGAAAAUGUAAUUUUAUCUUUAUUAAUUUAAAAUUUUAAAAAUUUUAAAGAAUAUAAAUAUAAAAUUUUCUGUUUUAAAAAGGCCAGGGCCUGCCAAUCCCCUAAAUUUGGCCUUGGUUGAAUAACAUUAAUUUUUUUCUUCUUCAAGUUUUAAACAUUAUUAAAAUUUUAAAAUAUUGUACUUAUUCUUUAAGAUUUUGUUUUUAAGCUUUUUCUAAAUUAACAAUGUUUGAAAAAUUAACUCUCUUAUUAAACAUGUUCCCAUUUUUAACAAUAUUUUAUAUUUUUUAAAAUGGGUUUUUAACAAUUUUUAUACCUUUAUUAAGAAGCCCUAAACUAUAUAUUUUUAUAUAACUAAACUAAAAUUCCGUAAUUAUUAUAGUCCAUAUUCAUUAUUUCUAUUAAAAAAUCUCUUCGUUUAAUUAAGAGUUGACAUAUGAUAUUUUUAAUAAAAUAAAAUAAUUAUUUAAUAUUAGAUUUUCUCUCUCCUCUCACUUUCUCUCUCUCCCCCUCCAUCUUUAUUUUCUUCCAUUAUUUACGACAGCAAAAAUGGAAGAAAAAAAAACAACUCUAGAUUUAAAGGAAAAGAGAAAAAAAAAGUGAAAAAAUUGUGGGAAAGAAAGUAGAAAAGAUAAAACGAAGCAAUGGCCAAUGGUACAUUUGUUAACUAUAUUUUUAGAUUUUAUUGAAUGAUUUUUAAUAUAACAUAACAAUAAUCAAAAUUCUUUUUUAAAAUUAAGUAUAUGUUCAUAAUUAUGAUUUUUUUAUUACAAAAAAUAUUAUAGUAUUUUUAACAUUAAAAAUAUUAUAAUAAUAUUAAUACUUUUUUAUAUUACUUAAAAGAUUGUAAAUUUCAAUAUAUAUUUCUAUUUAAAGUAAAUUUAUAUGACCAUUAAAUAAUUUACUGUAAAAUUAUUAUAGUAUUGGUAUUUGUUAAGAAAUGGCUUAAAAUUGGUAGUGGAUUGUUGUUGUUGGUAGUGGGUUGUUGGUGGUAGUGGAUUAGUGGAUGGUUGUUGGUGUCCAUUUUCAACCACAAAUCUUUGCCAAAGUUUUGGACAAUUAUGUCCUUGAACUCUCUUAUAAAUAGAGAGGUUCAUUAGCCAUAUUGAUCAUCCCAAACCAAGAGAGAGCAAAGCUUGUUCUUUGAAAGCUAGGAUUUUAGCUUUCGGGUUUUCUAUAGGGGUUGAGAGUUGUGAGGUUCUCGGGUUGUGUCUUGAGUGUAAAACACUUGUAAUCUUCAUCUUGUUAUAGUGAAAUUUCUUUUCGCCUCUGCCCGUGGACGUAGGCAUUAAAGCCGAACCACGUAAAUCCUUGUGUUCACUUUAUUUUUCGUUUCGGUCAAUUUACUUGUAGUCAUAUCGGAGUUCUCGAAUCGAUCCUUUCCGCAACAAAUUGGUAUCAGAGCGUAGUUGAAGGAGUGAUAAUAUUUUCUGAAUUGCCCUGUGACUGCAGCUUUGUCUGAUCUUUCACAUCAGGAAGAAAAUAUUAUCAUUCAUUCAAAGGUUCCAAAUUAUGGCUACAAGUGUUUCAUCGACUAAGUAUGAUGUCGAGAAAUUUACCGGGAAAAAUAGUUUCAGUUUAUGGCGCAUCAAGAUGCGGGCAGUGCUGGUUCAACAAGGAUUGCUAAAAGCAUUGUCUGGUAAAGAUAAAUUACCAAGCACGCUUUCGGAAGAGCAAAAGGAUGACAUGCUAGAAAGAGCACAUAGUGCUAUUCUGCUAUGUCUAGGAGAUGAAGUGCUACGAGAAGUAGCGGAUGAGAAAACCGCGUCCGGUUUGUGGCUCCGGUUAGAAAGCAAGUACAUGACGAAGUCAUUGACGAACCGGCUCUACCUCAAGCAAAGACUCUAUGCCCUGAAGAUGGAGGAAGGUACACCUGUUUCCCAGCACCUGGAUAAAUUCAAUUCCAUUAUCAUGGAUUUGAAUAAUAUCGAUAACAAAAUCGAUGAUGAGGACCAAGCAAUAAUUGUUUUGUGUUCUUUGCCUCCCUCGUAUGAGAAUUUUGUUGAUACAAUGAUGUACGGUCGUGAUGACCUGACUCUAGAGGAGGUGAAAAAUGCCUUAAGUUCCAGUGAGUUGAGGAAGAAAAUCACUGGUAAGGUGGUCGAAAACAAUGAAGGCGAAGGCUUGGUUGCUCGAGGAAGAUCCAAGGCAAAGGGUGGAAGUUCAAGUAAAAGCCAUCCUAGAUCGCAGUCCAAGAAGAGAAUACAGUGCUACUACUGUAAGAAGUACGGGCACAUGAAGGUAGAUUGUCCGAAAAGGAAGGAGAAAUCAGAAUCACAGGAGCAACAAAAUGAUCGUGCGAAUGUAGCUGAUGCAGAUUCUUCAAGUGAUGCCGAGAUCGUUCUUGCAGUAUCCGACUCUUACGCUGGUGGGAGAUGGAUUCUUGAUACGGGAGCUACAUUUCAUAUAAGUACUUCGAAAGAUGCAUUCUCAACAUACGAGAAGCAUUCUGGUUCAGUACUAAUGGGAAAUGACCACGCAUGUCAAGUCAUGGGGAUUGGCACAGUUCGUAUAAAGAUGUUUGACGGUAUUGUUAGAACUCUAACUGAUGUUCGGCACAUUCCAGAAAUGAAGAAAAAUUUGAUCUCUUUGAGUACGUUGGACAAGAAAGGCUUUCGGUACUCUGCUGAAGGUGGAGUUCUCAAGGUAUUCUCGGGUGCUUUGACUGUGAUACGUGGUAAUUUGGAGCGGGGCCUUUACUUCCUCGAUGGUUCCUCGGUUACAGGUGUUGCGGGAGUGUCAUCAUCAGAUGAUCUAGAUUCUGACACCACGAAGUUAUGGCAUAUGCGGCUCGGGCAUAUGAGCGAGAGAGGCUUAUCGGUGCUAAGCAAACGAGGAUUAUUGUCUGGGCAGUGUACAGGAAAGUUGAAUUUCUGUGAGCACUGCGUCUUCGGUAAGCAGACUCGGGUAAAGUUCAGCACUGGGAUUCACAAGACAAAAGGCACAGUGGAUUACUUCCAUUCUGACCUUUGGGGGCCUUCUCCGACAAUUUCUAAAGGUGGUUACAGAUAUCUGCUUACCUUUAUCGAUGAUUACUCGAGAAAGGUUUGGGUGUAUUUUCUGAAGAGCAAGUAUGAGGUUCUCAUCAACUUCAAGCAAUUUAAAGCUUUGAUCGAAAAUCAAACAGGAAAGAAGAUCAAGCGAUUCCGGACGGAUAAUGGCUUGGAGUUUUGCUCAGGUGAAUUCAAUGAGUUCUGCAAGAAUGAAGGAAUAGUGAGACACCGCACUGUUCGUCGAACACCACAACAAAAUGGAGUUGCAGAACGCAUGAAUAGAACUCUCUUGGAGCGAGCUCGUUGCAUGCGAUCAAAUGCUGGGCUCGGUGAAGAAUUUUGGGCUGAAGCUGUUAAUACUGCUUGUUAUUUGGUUAACAGAUCUCCGUCAACAGCUAUUGAGCUGAAGACUCCUGAGGAAGUAUGGUCUGGUUCUCCUGCUGAUUACUCUGGUUUAAGAGUGUUUGGCUGCCCUGCGUAUGCUCAUGUAAAUGAGGGAAAACUCAAACCGAGGGCGAAGAAAUGCAUAUUUCUUGGAUACGGCCAAGGGGUGAAAGGAUACAGGUUGUGGUGUCCUGAUCCGGUUUCGUCCAAGUUCAUCAUCAGCAGAGAUGUGACUUUUGAUGAGUCAUCCAUGCUUCGAUCCACCACAAAUUCCCGGGAAAAGGAGGAGUCAGAUAGAAUGGGAGAUCACGGUGUUGAGAAGCAGGUGGAGUGUCAGGUGGACGCUCCAAUUCCUACGGAAGGUACUUCAGUCCAGGAUGAUCAAGUUGAGGUGCAAGAUUCCGAUGAAGAUGAGUCACCUCAAGAAAAACCAUAUAGCAUUGCCACUGGAAGAACGAAGAGACAAAUCAAACCAAAUCCGCGUUACGCUAAUCUGGUGUCUUUCGCGCUCAGUGUGGCGGAGUCCAUUGGUAUAGAACCUUCCAGUUAUAAUGAGGCUGUCACGUGUGAUGAGUCGGCACAGUGGGCAAUUGCUAUGAGUGAGGAGAUAGAAUCUCUUCACAAGAACCAUACUUGGGAGUUGGUUAAGCCGCCAAGUAACCAGAAGAUAGUUGGUUGCAAAUGGGUCUUCAAGAAAAAGGAAGGCAUCCUAGGGGUUGAAGCAACUAGAUUCAAGGCACGAUUGGUUGCUAAAGGCUUCACUCAGAAAGAGGGGAUUGACUACAAUGAAGUUUUCUCCCCAGUCGUAAAGCAUUCUUCCAUUCGUAUAUUACUUGCCAUGGUGGCCAAGUCUGAUCUAGAACUUGAGCAGCUUGACGUAAAAACGGCGUUCUUGCAUGGUGAGCUCGAGGAAACAAUCUACAUGCGUCAACCAGAGGGUUUUACAGUUCCUGGUAAAGAAGACCAUGUCUGUCUAUUAAAGAAGUCUUUAUAUGGAUUGAAACAAUCCCCAAGGCAGUGGUACAAGCGGUUUGAUAGCUUCAUGAUUCAGCAUGGUUACACAAGAUGUGACUAUGAUGCUUGUGUCUAUCAUCGGAAGCUCUCAGAUGGUUCGCACAUUUAUUUGUUGCUGUAUGUUGAUGACAUGUUAAUUGCUUCCAAAAACAUGUCGGAAAUCAACAAGUUAAAGUCGCAGUUGAGUGGUGAGUUCGAGAUGAAGGAUCUGGGUGCUGCCAAGAAAAUUUUGGGCAUGGAUAUUCACAGAGAUCGCAAGGCGGGCAAGCUUCGUGUGUCGCAGAAGAACUACAUUGAAAAGGUUCUUCAACGCUUCGGCAUGGAUAAAGCGAAAACUGUGAGUACUCCGUUGGCACCACAUUUCAAACUCUCUGCAGAGUUGUCACCACAAUCUGAUGAAGAAAAGCAGCAAAUGUCUCACAUUCCAUACUCGAGUGCAGUUGGAAGCGUGAUGUAUGCAAUGGUUUGCACUCGUCCAGACAUUUCACAUGCAGUUAGUGUGGUCAGCAGAUACAUGAGUUGUCCUGGCAAGGAACACUGGCAGGCCGUGAAAUGGAUUCUCAGGUACUUGAGAGGUUCUGCAGAUUUAUGCUUGGUAUAUGAUCAGAGUGACUGCACUAGCAGUGUCACGGGCUAUGCGGACUCUGAUUAUGCUGGAGAUCUGGACAAAAGAAGAUCUCUGACGGGUUAUGUUUUCACUUAUUCUGGAGGAGCCAUUAGUUGGAAAGCUGUGUUACAGUCUACCGUAGCCUUAUCUACGACUGAGGCGGAAUAUAUGGCGUUAGCAGAAGCAGUGAAAGAAGCAUUGUGGAUGAAAGGUCUAGUAAGCAGUUUGGGUUUACAACAGGAUUUCACUGUUGUAUUUUGCGAUAGCCAGAGUGCCAUACAUCUGACUAAAAAUCAGAUGUUUCAUGAACGGACCAAACACAUUGAUGUCAGAUAUCAUUUUGUUCGGGAACAUGUUACGCAAGGUGACAUUGUUAUCAGCAAGGUUGCUACCGAGAAGAAUCCUGCAGAUAUGUUAACUAAGGUGAUCCCUGCAUAUAAGUUCAAGCAUUGCUUGGACUUGAUAGGUAUUCGGGAUUGAUUAGCGCCAGAGAGGCGUUUGGAAGAGGUGAUCCAGUUCACUAUGAUGUUCAGCUUGGUAAAUUUCAAGCCAAGGUGGAGAUUUGUUAAGAAAUGGCUUAAAAUUGGUAGUGGAUUGUUGUUGUUGGUAGUGGGUUGUUGGUGGUAGUGGAUUAGUGGAUGGUUGUUGGUGUCCAUUUUCAACCACAAAUCUUUGCCAAAGUUUUGGACAAUUAUGUCCUUGAACUCUCUUAUAAAUAGAGAGGUUCAUUAGCCAUAUUGAUCAUCCCAAACCAAGAGAGAGCAAAGCUUGUUCUUUGAAAGCUAGGAUUUUAGCUUUCGGGUUUUCUAUAGGGGUUGAGAGUUGUGAGGUUCUCGGGUUGUGUCUUGAGUGUAAAACACUUGUAAUCUUCAUCUUGUUAUAGUGAAAUUUCUUUUCGCCUCUGCCCGUGGACGUAGGCAUUAAAGCCGAACCACGUAAAUCCUUGUGUUCACUUUAUUUUUCGUUUCGGUCAAUUUACUUGUAGUCAUAUCGGAGUUCUCGAAUCGAUCCUUUCCGCAACAGUAUUGUUCAAAAAAAUUAACAUUAAAUAUUUUAACAUUACUUAAAAGAUUUAUAAAAUAUUGAUUAAAUUAUUUUAAUAAGGUAAAAACUAUUAAUAUUACUAAACAAAAUUAUCAAGUUAUUAAAAACUAUUAAAAUUUAUAGACUUCUUUUUUUUUUCUUUUUUUUUUAUGAAUCUACCUUUUGUAUUGUAUUGUAGCAUUUAUAAGGCGAAGAGAAACCCUCGAAAUUUCUAGAUGUUAAAUUAUUAUUUCCUUAAUUUCGGUUCAGGGAAGGAUCUAAAACUUUCAUCUUUUUUCCAGAACAAUUUGGAAUGCAGUCAAAGCCUCGUAAUAUUAUUGAUUUUGACUACUAGAUGGAAAUAUUAUUACUAAAAACGUGUUUAGAGCCUUUUUUAUUGUAAAAUCAAUAAACAUGCAAAGGGAAGAAAUAAAAUAUGUUGACUACAUAUGAACGAAUUAUUGUCGUUUGGACAUUAUCACACAUAUUUGCUUCAAUAUAUUUACAUUCACAUAGACAACAUUGACCUAAUAGUUUAGGUAUACUUUAUAAAUUUUUUUAAAACAAUAAAUAUCAUUCAAAAAUCAAACAAUUUCAAAAAAUAUCUAUGUCAACAAUGAAGUAAAAUAAAUUGCCAUACAUACCAUCAUGUCCUUGUGUUUAAAGUUUUAACAAUUUAAUUAGUUUUUCCAUUCAAAUAAUAAAUAUUAUUUUUCAUUUAAGUACUUGAAUUUUAUUUUUUAUUAAAGUAGUUACCUAAAAUUUUAUUCAUUUAUUACUUUAGGAACCAAUCAUUAACUCACGUUAAUAAAAAAGCUUUGCAUCAAUCAAGAUAUAUGACAUUUUUAAUUAAAUAAAAGAUGAUCUCACAUUCUCUUUCCUUUCAUCUUCAUAUAUUUUUUGAAAGAAAUUUCUACAAUUUUUUGAAAUAAAUUCUACUUCAAAUUUCUCCAAUUAAAACAAACUCUCAUUUUCAAUAUUAAAAUAAAUCAUCAUCUUAGCCAAAAGCAAACCCAUUUUCAAUAUUAGAAACUCAAAACAGGAAAGAAAAAGAAGUGACAGAAAAGAAAACCUCCAUUUUCUCCUUUUUUUUUAGACCAUGACAAGUUGUUUUUUUUUAGGGUUUCUUAUUUCACACUUUGCUAAGAAGAUGAUGAAGGAAGGGAGGGGAAGGGAAGGGAAGGGAAAGAGAUAGAAUAUUUUUAUUUCUAAUUUAAUUUUUAUUUAAUGUUAAUUUUUAUUUUUUUAUUUAUUUAAAAAAUUACGUGUAAUAAUUUAGUUGUUUCUAAAAUUUUAUUUUAGCAAUAAUUAACUAUUGGACUAGAAAUGAUAAUGAAAUAAAGUUUUAAGUGUCUACUUUGACAAAAAAAAAUUUCAAAUAGUUAAAUGAGAAAAUUUGUAUAGUUUAAUUAUUUAUUUUUCAUUUAAGACAAAGAAAAAACCAAAAUUUUCUUCAGUGGGGUCAGAGGCGAUUCUAGGGGGCUAGCAUGGCCCCGGCUCCCCCUAAAAUAAAAAAUUACCAUUUAAGUUUUCUAUUUUUUUUUUAAAUUUUAAAUUAGUAAAGGUAAAAUUACACUUUGGCCCUCCUUAAAAUUAUAAAAAUUUGAUUUAAUCUUUUAAAAAUUAUAAAGAUAUAGACUAUAAAAAAUUAAAAUUUUAUUCGGCUCCUAUAAAAUUGUUCUGCCUUCACCCCUGAGUGGGGUGUCUUUGCACUUUUACAACAUGAUUAAUGAAAUCUCAACUCUAUUUUAUUUUACUUUUCUUUACAUAAUUGGAGUGAAGAGUGAAGUUAUUUGGGAUUAAACUCAAACUCUCAACUUAAAACAUAAUACUCUUAUCACUAAAUCAAUAAGCUGGCAAGUUUAUUGAUUUUAUAAUCAAACAACGAAUCAUAUUUAAGCUUAGUCAUACAUAAUAAAGUCGGAGUGAUCAAAAUUAAAGAGAAUAUAAUUUUUUGCUCCUAAACUUAGUAAUUUGGUCUAUUUUGGUACUUGUGUGUUUCUUUUUUAUUUAUCUAUUUUUGUUCUUGAACUUGCAACUAAUUCAUUUUUGUUUGGUAAACUUGAUUUUGUCAUUUAAUGAUGUGAUUAGUGUUACUGGAAUAAGAUUGGAUCGAACAGAUGAAGAAUUGAUUAAUAUAAUGAUUUGAACAAAAUGUUGAAUCAAUUGACUCAUAAACUACUAGCAAUGGGUAAAAAUCAAAAACUGGAAUAAAGAUUGACAGUUAAAAACCAAUUUAAUAUUUUUUUUACAUUUUUAAAUUUUUAUGAAUUUUUAAUUAUUGUUAGUUCAACAGUCAAAUUAAUUGAACUGGUUAAAUUGGAAACAAGUGGUCUAACAUGUUUAAUUACUAGUCCAAUUAUUAAAAUUUUCAAGUAAUGUUGUGGUAUAAUUUUUAUAUUUUUUUAAAUUCAGAGACCAAAAUGGACUUAAUUAUCAAGUGUUAGUGUCAAAGUGGACAAAAAUAGUAUUAGUACCAAAGUGGCAAAGUGAAUCUGAUUACAAGUUCAGGGUUAAAAAUUAUAUUAUCCCAAAAUAAAAAAAUAUCAUCAACAGCGUAUAUUUAUCUCUUUAAAAAGAAAAAAUUUCGUCUGUACUCUCAAAGCUUAGCAAGCAAGCAAGCAAUUCCAUAGCCUGGAAAAAUCCCCACCAUGGAAACGCCUACAGAUGAACACGGCAAGCUCAGUGAACCUUUCCUUACAUCCUCUCCAUCAAAGGGUGGUUUCAGAACUCUACCUUUCAUCUUAGGUUCGUUGCCUCCCCCCCCCCCCCCCCAAAAAAAAAAAAACUUUACACUCAAUGGUGAUUUUAUGUAUAUAUUUUUAAUUUCAUGCAACUUUGUGAGUGACAGCAAUGGAGGCCUUUGAAAGGGUGGCUAUCGUUGGGAUAACUACGAAUAUGAUAGUGUAUUUGACGGGAGAAUUCGGCAUGGAAACCGCAACAGCAGCCAAUGUGAUAUUCGUUUGGUCAGCUGCCACCGGUUUCACACCCAUCAGUGGUGCUUUUAUUGCGGAUUCUUAUAUGGGAAAGUACCCUAUGAUCGGAAUCGGAACCAUUAUUGGUUUUCUGGUAAUAAAUCUUCUUUAAAACCCUCGAACUUUCUCUGUCAUUUCAGCUUCCCUGUAGAUUGUUCUUACCAAUGCCGUUUUCUUUGAACUACUCUCAAGGCAUUAAACUCUUAACUUUAGGUUUUUUAUAGCUAAACUUUAAAAUCAUAAAAAUAUAUAUUAAAAUUAUUACUGUACAUGAUUUUCCACAGCAUCAAAUGAGCUAUUAAAAAUAAUUUUGAAUAUCACAAAUUUACAAAAAUUAGAAUACGAAUAAUUUUUUGAAAUAUUGAUCCACCUUAUUGAUCAUUAAAAUGGUGAUAGGAGCUCACUAAUUAGAUUCUUUCUUAAAGAAAAAACACUUACAAUGCCCGACGAGUUAAAUAAAUUUUUUUGAAUAAUUUAAUAAUUUAAAUAAAUUUUUUUGAAUAAUUUAAUAAUCAAUUUAAUAAUCAAAACAAACACAUAACCUUACCGUUUUAAUAUUCCUUGGUUAGACCCUAAAAAUAUAUAUAGUCCAUAUGUUGGGAUAUUGAAAUAACGUAGUCAUUUUAUCAGAACUCAGCUUGAAUUUGUUGAACAAAAAUAUUUAAUUAGAUUUAGGUAUAUAUGUGUGAUAUAAAUAUGAUAUUAAAAAUUCAACUUUUUAGUUUUUAUGCCCAAAUCCAAUUAAAUAUUUCAUAACAAGUAUUAUGCGAGUAUAUGAAAUAUAAUCCUAUGGCCAUCGGAACUUCUCUAACCAGGAGUUCCUCAUAAAAAAAUUCAACUUUUUAUGGGGAGAUGUAGUGCCAAAUCUCUAUUAACCAUCUUUUUAUUCAUGUUAGGGAAUGAUUCUAUUAUGGUCAACAGCUAUGAUUCCACAAGCAAGGCCAUACUGCGACCAAUUCAACACCAUCUGUGAAGCCCCAACAAUACCCCAACUUGUACUCUUAUAUUUUUCACUAGGCCUAAUCUCUAUCGGAGCUGGUGGCAUAAGAUCGCCAUUCAUGGCCUUCGGUGUAGAUCAGUUGGAUGAGAGAAACAACUCGCACAGUUUCUUCAAUUGGUGCUAUGUUACACUCAUGUUUUCAUCUCUAAUCGCUGUAACUUUGAUUGUUUAUAUUCAAGAUAACAUGGGGUGGAAAAUGGGUUUGGGGGUACCUGUAAUGCUGAUGUUCCUUUCAGCUGUUUCGUUCUUCUUAGCAUCUUCAUUUUACAUCAAGUUGAAGCCUAAGGCAAGCUUGCUCACUGGUUUGGCUCAAGUUAUAGUGGCUUCUUUCAAAAAUAGGCACAUUGAGUUACCCUCCCAUGCCACAAAUGAAGUUUAUUAUGUCAGAGAGGGAUCGAUGCUUCAAGUGCCAAGUGAAAAACUAAGGUACUAGCAUCACAAUAUAUAUUGUGUAUUUUAACUAGAUCAUCUUUGUCCAUUGUAUUUUGUUUGUAAUCUGUCCAGGUUUCUGAAUAAAGCUUGCAUGAUAAAAAAUCCUCAAGAGGACUUAACCUCGAAGGGAAAUGCUUCAAACCCAUGGAGUCUUUGUACAAUAGAUCAAGUAGAGGAUCUAAAAGCAUUGAUCAGAGUAAUGCCGCUUUGCUCCGCAGGAAUUAUACUGUCCGUAACCGUUAAUCAAGGCUCAUUGAUGGUAAUUCA
rnacentral:lncRNA from 1 species